rnacentral:piRNA from 1 species
UNCCCAUGUACUGGGCCUCGAUGCCUCCCU